GGCGUCUCUAGCCCCGGGGCAGCCGACGGUGCUGGCUGGCGGCAGCCAAGGCGUGCUGCGUUGGCCCAGAGGCUGGCAGACGCACCCGGCAGGCGCUGGGCCCAGCCACAUGAAAGGCAGAGCGCUCCACCCGCCAGCUGCCUUUAGCUGGGUUCUGACGCCGCCGCCAUGCACCCUAGGACCGGGCCAUCUUGAUGAAGGGCCGCCUUCCUCCUCAGGCAUAGGGAUCGGGCUGUCCUUAAGGAGCUCCAGCCCCGGGGCCGGGUGGCCCACGAGUGGGAGCACACUGUUUCCCCUGCCAGGCUCCCAGGCUCCCAGGCUCCCAGACGAAGACGCGCACCAGCACCGAGGCUCUGCUGACUGACCGCUUGUCUCUUAAUUCUUGCCUGACAUAGACAUUCCCUGCCCAGGGAAGUGUUUGAUUUAUGUUGAGGUUUGAGUGUCCGGAUUUUGCUGACAGGUGGGGAAACUGCAGCGCAGAGAAGGAAAGUGAUUUGCUCAAGGUGAACGGUGGAGCUGGGACUUGAACCUGGGUCGGAAUUACUCCAGAACAUCUGGCAGCCACAAUCUGGUGUACAAACGUGCUGGAAGCCUUGUUGGUGAAGCCGUGCCUCGACGGUGAUGAGACCCAGGUCUGCCCAUCUGUCAUGACAUCUCAGACUCUUGUGGAAGGCCCACCUGAUCAUCUUCUAGUCGGACA